AUUGAACGCUGGCGGCAUGCUUUACACAUGCAAGUCGAACGGUAACAGGCCUUCGGGUGCUGACCAGUGGCGAACGGGUGAGUAAUGCAUCGGAACGUGCCCAGAGGUGGGGGAUAACGCAGCGAAAGCUGUGCUAAUACCGCAUGUGAUCUGAGGAUGAAAGCGGGGGACCAGGCAGCAAUGUUUGGCCUCGCGCCUUUGGAGCGGCCGAUGUCAGAUUAGGUAGUUGGUGGGGUAAAGGCCUACCAAGCCGACGAUCUGUAGCUGGUCUGAGAGGACGACCAGCCACACUGGGACUGAGACACGGCCCAGACUCCUACGGGAGGCAGCAGUGGGGAAUUUUGGACAAUGGGCGCAAGCCUGAUCCAGCAAUGCCGCGUGCGGGAAGAAGGCCUUCGGGUUGUAAACCGCUUUUGUACGGAACGAAAAGGCUCUGGCUAAUACCUGGGGCUGAUGACGGUACCGUAAGAAUAAGCACCGGCUAACUACGUG
rnacentral:rRNA from 1 species